rnacentral:rRNA from 1 species
GACGAACGCUGGCGGCAUGCCUAAUACAUGCAAGUCGAACGCUGAAGCACUCUGCUUGCAGAGUGCGGAUGAGUGGCGAAUGGGUGAGUAACACGUGGGGAAUCUGCCUAUAAGUGGGGGAUAACAUUCGGAAACGGAUGCUAAUACCGCAUAUAUUCUUGGACCGCCUGGUCCUUGAAAGAAAGACGGCUUUGCUGUCGCUUAUAGAUGAUCCCGCGGCGUAUUAGUUAGUUGGUGGGGUAAAGGCCUACCAAGACAAUGAUACGUAGCCGACCUGAGAGGGUGAUCGGCCACACUGGGACUGAGACACGGCCCAGACUCCUACGGGAGGCAGCAGUAGGGAAUCUUCCACAAUGGGCGAAAGCCUGAUGGAGCAAUGCCGCGUGAAUGAAGAAGGUCUUCGGAUCGUAAAGUUCUGUUAUUAGAGAAGAACAAGUCAAGGAGUAACUGUCUUGACUUUGACGGUACCUAACCAGAAAGUCACGGCUAACUACGUG